rnacentral:lncRNA from 1 species
AUCUGCGUUCGAGCGCCCGCGCCGGCUCACGGCCCCGCCCUCUCGCGACCGUCGCCCGCGUCCAAGGCUGCUCGCCUCGCUCCGCUUCGGCCCGCGCACCCGCCUGCGCCAGCCGCGUGCCCACGCCGGUCCCAGAGGCCUGCGCCUCGGCCCCUCGGCUCGCGCCCACCCGCUCGGCCUCUCGUUCGCGCCAGCGCCCGCCCUCGCUCAAGCCCCGCGCCCGCGCCCCCGAGGAGAGGGGUGAGAGGGGAUCUAGAGAGUGGGGAAGUGAGAGAGACCGAGUAGAGAGGGAAAGAGGAGGGGUGGGUGUGGAGAGAGAGAAAGUGUAGGAGAGGGAGGAAGAGAGAGAGAGAGGGGGGAGAGAGAGAGGGUGUGAAGAGAGAGAGAUAGAGAGAGGGGGAGAGAUGGUGUGAAGAGAGAGGGGAAAAGAGAGAGAGUGUGAGAGAGAGAGAGAGAGAGAGAGAGAGAGAGAUAGGGCCAGCUGGCAGUGGAGGGAAAGGGAGAGAGGCUCGGUGGGAGAAGAGGGAGGGAGAGAAAGGCUCGGAUGAAUGAAACAAAUGUAGAAGCGCCACG